UCAGUUCCCUUGCUUCAUAUAUUAAAUUAGUAUGAGUUGGUGUAUCUACUUCCAGGGAUUAGGAGAGUAGGAAGAAGAAUGUGAGAAAAUAGUUUAGAUUGUUAAUGUGGCCAGAUUCUUUUGUUCCAAAUAAGUUCCAUAUCUUGUGUAUUCUAAAUGUUUUCCAGUGAAUGGUCUAUAUUAAUCCUAAUAUGUUAUGUUUGUGACCUUGCAGGGAGGAGCAAUUCUCAUACCUGGAUUUUGUUCACCAAAAGCACUUAAGCCAUUGCUUCCAGUGUUUCUAUCAGAGCUGGAGGACUUGUAUAUAUACUAUUGAGGAGAAAGUGAUUGAGAGGGCUUAUAAAAAGCUUGCUCUUGAUGCUUGGGUGAUUCAACAAGGCCGAUUAGCAGAGCAAAAAAUUUGGAUAGUCAGAUGGUUAUGAAUGUUUUGUGGAUCUGACAUGCACAUUACUGAUGCAGCUAUGGUUCGAAGA